UCGAAAACCGCAACGGUUCCGUUGUAGAAAAUCGUCAAAGGAGCAGUUUGAGGAGGAUUCUCCAAAGCAGGCCUUUGAAGGGGAUAAUAGACGGGUAAACGUGGAAAUGGAGUCUGUUCUUUAGGAGCAGCAGGCACCGAAAAUGACUUUUUGGAAUCGAAGUGAUAGCCAUUUUCUGGAGUACUCUGCUGAUUGGCAGAACCAGAGGCAAUGACAGACUUGAGAAGCUCAGGAUUGAUUUUUGAUAUAGCGCUCUGAAUAUCUCGAAAGCUCCUCUGGCGAUUAAGGAACUUAGGGAAAUGAGAGUUAGCGCAGAUCUGCUUCUCCAUGCCAAAGAAAUCAAGCUCGACAGUUGCUCUCGACAUCUUAAUUUGUUUAUCUGAUUAAAUCGAGAAUGUGGUGAAGGCAGAUAAACUUAAAUGCAAG
rnacentral:misc_RNA from 1 species